rnacentral:lncRNA from 1 species
CUUGGGGAAAUGUACUAAAUUUGGGUUGUUUUACUAAAUGGUUUUUGAUUCCUUCAGUUACCAGUGACACAAUCUCCUCUCAGGUUUCUAGGCAUGCUCAUUGUUGGAUGACUGUCUAGACAGAUGGUGAGGUCCCUGAGUGUAGCUAACAUGUAUUGUUGCUGGUCUCAGCGCUACAUCCUUCUGCAGUUUUCUUACGGAAUCCUUUCCCACCCUGUUAAUCACGUCCUCCAGAAAGCUGCUCAAUUAUCUUAUCCCAUCAGUCUCACUCAGCAACCACCAUCAUCAGAAUAAAAUGUAAUGUAGGAGUUACCGUGUGACCCAGCACUUCUGCCCUUAGCUAUAUACCCAAGAGAAUGGAAAUAUGCAUUCACACAAAAACUAGUACACAAAUGUUCACAUUUGUCACAGCCAAAAACUGAGAGCAACCCAAAUGUCCAUCAACAGAUGGAUGAGGAAAAUGUCGUUUAUGGAUAUAAGGGAAUAUUACGCAGACAUAAAACUGAAGGCUAUUUUGAUACCAACUCCUCAUGGAGGACCUUGAGGACACUGCGCUAAGUAAAAUGAGCUAGUCAUGAAAGUAUAAAUUUCGCACGAUUGCUCUACUAUGAGGGUCCUAGAGAAGUCAAAUUCAGAGACAGAAGGGAGAAUGGUGGCUGCCAGGAAUGGGAGGAGAGGGGAAUGGGGAGUUAGUGUUUAAUGGGACAGAGUUUCAGUCGAAGAUGAAAAAGUCCUGGAAGUGGACGGUGCUGAUGGUCGCACAAUAAUGUGAAUGUGCUUACUGUCACAGAACUGUACACUGAAAAGUGGUUAAAAUGGCAAAUGUAAUGCCAUGUAUACUUUCCAAAGUAAAGUAAAAGAAUGAUGUGCUUAUCUACCACAUGGACGAACUUUGAAAACCUCAUGCUAAGUGAAAGGAGCUAGACAUAAAAGGACACAUACUGCAUGAUUCCAUGUAGACUGAAUUUCAAGAGUCAGCAAAUCCAUGGAGACAGAAGCCAGGUUAGUGGUUUAGUAUGGGAGGACGAGGGAUAGGAAGUGACAGCUAACAAGGCCAGGGUUUCUUACUAAGGUGAUAAAAUGUUUUGAAAUUACAUAGUGGUACUGAUUUUUACAACCGUGUGAAUAUAGUAAAACGUUUUCUUUUGAGUACAUUUUUACAAGGUGAAUUUUGGGGCUGGCCCAGUAGCGUAGUGGUCAAGUUCAGCACACUUUGCUUUGUUGGCCCAGGUUCACACGUUUGGAUCCCAGGCAUGGACCUACGCCACUCAACAAGUCAUGCUGUGGUGGUACCCCACAUACACAAUAGAGGAAGGCGUGCACAGAUGUUUGCUCAGGGCCACUCUUCCUCAAGCAAAAAGAGGAAGACUGGCAACAGGUGUUAGCUCAGGGCCAAUCUUCCUCACCAAAAAAACAAAAAACAAACGGUGAAUUUUAUGAUCAUGAAUCUCUCUCAACUUAAAAAGCAACAUAAAAAUUUGCAACAUAAAUUCCUUACCAUCACGGUGCUCUCAUAGGUCAUCAGAGUUUAAUCACAACCCGACAGUGGUGACUGCAGUCAGAAUGACAUCACUGACUUCUAAAACACCAAGUCACAUUAUCUGAAUCUCCCUAGUGGCCUUCGAUGCAUCUAUUCCUAUUCAGGGUUUACCUUACGUACCAGAAGGAACGUAAAAGUGUCAACUAUGUCAUUUGAGUCUUUUUAUCACCCCGAAUACUAAGAUGGCAUGGUCUGGCAUAUCAUAAGCACUUACUAAAAAUCUGAUUAUUUGACCCCAAAUUCUAGUUCUAGACAUUUCUUAAGAAAAUACUGAGAUAAAGAAAUGCAUGUACAAGUAUGUUCAAUACUUAGCUUAUGACAGCCAAAACUAGAAACACAAAAAUCUAACGGAACAGGUUAAUUAACUUGGUUCUGCUAUAUGAUGGCAGGUACAGCAUUAUUAAUCAGGAUGAUACUGGUCCCAGUGUAAAAUACGCACUCAUAACUGGGGAACAGUAUCCAGUUGAAACUUAAGACAUAGAUUCUGUUCUCAGAUUUUCUAAAUGUAACUGCUCUUAGAGUUCAUGGCAUUUUAAUGCCUUGGGUUGUUCAUCAGUAAAACUAAGAGUGUGAAGAUCCCUUACUAAGCAUGAAUAUCUUGGAGAAAUAUAAUCUACAUAAAAACUUAAUAACAUGUUGUAAUCCUAUAUAAAUAUGUUAGAUAUUUUUACUGAAGAACAUUGCAUGCCCUCUAAUUGGGUAUUAUAAAAGAAACAAUUAUUCUUAGAUUAAAAUUGUGCUUAUCAGCCCUGCUCUGAUAAUGCUCACAAAACAAAGGGAAAAAAAAUCAGGACUUUUGCUUGAGAAUGCAUUUUUAAUUCAUAAAUCAAAAGUUUCUAGAAAAGAGGAGGAGGAAAUUUCCCUCCCACCGAAAUGCAGCAGAAUCAAAGAGACAUUUGUGAAUCACAACCUGCCCAAAGAAGCUGAUGUGAUCAAGCGUCUCAUAAGUGAGAACAUCAGUAAGACUCUCAGUGCCCUGAAGCAGCAAAGAAAGACGUUCUUCUUUUGGGAAUGGCAGGACUGAGGAGGAAGUCAGGAGGCACCAGGCUGUUCUUGGGGCACAGAAUGACUUCCUUACACGACACUCUCCAGGUCCACACCCGCCCUGCUCAUACACAUAAACAGAUGGAAAAGAGGACAGAGCCUGGACCACGGGAAUAGGUUUACAGCACGUUCCUGGGGUCCGAGCUCUGGGAACCCCGAGGCUCUGAGACAGUAGCUGCCCUUCACAGCUCCCAAGUAGAGAACUCCCCAGGCUUUCCCAAACUAACCUCGGUGCCCCCUGGCUGGAAAUCUCCCUUUAGGGCUCAAUGUCCUACUUCCCUCUUGCAGCCAAGCAGCUGUGAGGAGAGAAGAGGAGGAAGCGCCAGGGAGCCCAGAGCCACCAGACAGUGACGCCACAGAGCCACAGCCAUCACACCCGCACAGACACACACCGUCCUCUGCCGUUCAGGCCCGAGAGUCCCGUGAGGACUGGUGUCCCUACUACCGGCCUCCACGCUGUGAGCGCUUCCGCCGCCACCCCUCCUGGUUCACGUCGGGCUCCGAAUUGACUCGCUUCACAGGAUUCCCGCAUCCUGUGCUAACACAUCCACAAACGAGCUCCACUCACCUUGCGAAGAGGGAGAACCGCGCGAAAACGGAAUGGAAGCCAAAGAGCUGGCGUGACCGCUGCCGUCUGGGAAGUGUCGCUCCAACCUGAACAUCUCUGGGCGCGGCGGCUCGUCCGAAAGGCCACCGAAGCGCGGAAGUCCCGGUGGAACGACAACGCGAGAACCGCCCGGAGCCCAGCCCGAGCGCAGGUCUCUCAGCCAGGAGCGCGACGCGAGGGCGCGUGCGCGGGCACGGAGCCUGAGCGGAGGCCGCUGGUGCGCGUGCUCGGUCCAGAGGCGCCGCUGCGCCCAGGAGGCCGAGCAGGGCGGCCCGGCGCCGGCUCCGAGCGUCCGGCCUGUGCGCGCAGAGCCGCGCGGGAGGUCGGCGGGGCGGCCCCGGGGCGAGAGCGCACGGCGGGUGUGAGCUCUGAGGGCGGGGCCCCGGACGAGUCCCCUCAGGCGGCUGCAGCCUGGCGACAGCAUACGGGGCAAGCAACUCCUGAUCCCGCGGGGGAUGAGCCGGUUUAUUCAGUGUCUGUUAGCUGCGUUUAAAGGGUGUGCAGGAGUGAAGUAAUACAUAUUUACUUAAUUCUUUAGGCUAAGCUGUAAUAGUCAAAAUGGAAUGAAUAAUUAUUUGUAGAAGUUCUGUGGUGAAAAUUAUGUAGAUAUUUUGUAAUAUUGAUUCAGGGACAGAUUUUCCAAGCAUGCCCAAAGAGAGGGAUGUUAUUAAAAUUUUAAGAGUUGACUGGAUAAUUAGUUGUAAUCAUCCUAAUCACUUGAAUGCAAAUCAAUUAAUAAAAGUUAAUCCUAGACAAAGAUUUGAUAGACUUAUUUUUAAAAAAUAUAAUGAGCACACUGAUAAUAAUCUUAAUUCCAUUUUUUCUCAAUAAGAUUGUUGUCAGUAAUCUAAGAGGAAAGGGAAUGGUGAACUGCCAUAUGACCCAGCCAUCCCACUACUGGGUAUCUCUUCAAAGAGCUUGAAGUCAGGAAUUCCCAAAGUCCUAUGCACCCCAAUGUUUAUUGCAGCAUUAUUUACAAUAGCCAAGACAUGGAAACAACCUAAGUGCCCAUCAACAGAUGAAUGGAUAAAGAAGACGUGGUAUAUAUAUAUAUAUACAGUGGAAAACUACUCAGCCAUAAAACAGAACAAAAUCGUCCCAUUUGCAACAACAUGGAUGGACCUUGAGGGAGUUAUGUUAAGUGAAAUAAGCCAGAUAGAGAAGGACAAUCUCUGUAUGACUCCACUCCUAUGAGGAAUUUAAACCUGUGGACAAAGAGAACAGAUUAGUGGCUACCAGGGGAAAGGGG